rnacentral:rRNA from 1 species
GAUGAACGCUGGCGGCGUGCCUAAUACAUGCAAGUCGAGCGAACAGACGAGGAGCUUGCUCCUCUGACGUUAGCGGCGGACGGGUGAGUAACACGUGGAUAACCUACCUAUAAGACUGGGAUAACUUCGGGAAACCGGAGCUAAUACCGGAUAAUAUAUUGAACCGCAUGGUUCAAUAGUGAAAGACGGUUUUGCUGUCACUUAUAGAUGGAUCCGCGCCGCAUUAGCUAGUUGGUAAGGUAACGGCUUACCAAGGCAACGAUGCGUAGCCGAGCUGAGAGGGUGAUCGGCCACACUGGAACUGAGACACGGUCCAGACUCCUACGGGAGGCAGCAGUAGGGAAUCUUCCGCAAUGGGCGAAAGCUUGACGGAGCAACGCCGCGUGAGUGAUGAAGGUCUUCGGAGCGUAAAACUCUGUUAUUAGGGAAGAACAAAUGUGUAAGUAACUAUGCACGUCUUGACGGUACCUAAUCAGAAAGCCACGGCUAACUACGUG